CACACACACACACACACACACACACACACAGUCAGUAUGAAUACCACAAGGUAUAGUUAUACUGGAGAGGAUGUUCCCCUACUGCAGGACUCACUGUCUACACACACACACACACACACAGUCAGUAUGAAUACCACAAGGUAUAGUUAUACUGGAGAGGAUGUUCCCCUACUGCAGGACUCACUGUCUACACACACACACACACACAGUCAGUAUGAAUACCACAAGGUAUAGUUAUACUGGAGAGGAUGUUCCCCUACUGCAGGACUCACUGUCUACACACACACACACACAGUCAGUAUGAAUACCACAAGGUAUAGUUAUACUGGAGAGGAUGUUCCCCUACUGCAGGACUCACUGUCUA